UUUAAUAUUUGAAGCCAUGCUAAGAUACAACUAGGAUCAGACGCACCCUAUGAUGAGUACUCCACUUUUCAAAGUCUCACAUGGAAUUCCACUAUUAGUCAAAAAAAUAUGGCAGCCACCAACCAAUUUCAUUUUUGUCAAAAGUUGCAGCAAAAUUUCCACUUUUGCUGUAAAUAGUUUUUCAAGUUUUGCAGGCUAAUCUGCCUAUAAAUUGAGGGCUUCAUAGAAGCCUGAAAAUCACCAACUACGAUUCCCCCUCCUUCCUUUAUGCACCAAAAAUCAUAGAGAGUUUAUUUCAGCUGCAAUCUGGACCCCAAGAGUUUAUUCACUCCUGAAUUCAUUAGCACAGCAGCCAACCAAGCACAAAACACACAAGGUCAAGCACAAGAGUUUAAGGCUUAGUCGUGAGUCUCUACUACCAGGUUGAGCUGUGAUGGAUGAUGAAGUGUUGCUGAGUGGAGCUUUUGUCAAUUUGAAAUUAGGCUCAGAAAGGAUAUAUGUCUGCAUACAUGUAUCUCAGUUAUGUCUUUCGCUGCAAACACUGAUUAUGUUUUAGUCAAGUCUAUAACUAUGUCAAUUACUCUCCACAGAAAUAUCUAAUGCUUACUCGGGUUAAUCGAGUAUUUUUUUUUA